AGGUCUGCGCCUUCCUCUGAAGAGUCCAGCCUGCCGGUUGUGGCGGCUAUCGCUGCUGGCGGCGGCGGUGGCAGAGCUGCUUGGCGGAGUCCUUGGGGGUUGCCCCAAUGCUUUUAAAUGAAAUGCAUUUCCAAAGCACUUGAAGUCCAGACAAGGAAUAAUGGAUGGAAACUGAACAAGGAGAGAUUCAACCUGGAAAUAAGGAGAAAUUUUCUGACAGUGAGAACAAUCAACCAAUGGGCAGCUUGGCUUCAGACGUUGUGGGAGCUUCAUCGCUGGAAGCUUCCAAGAAGAGAUGACUGAAUGAGCCGAGGUGGCACAGGGUUAGAGUGCAGUACUGCAGCUACUUCAGCUGACUGCUAGUUCAGCAGAUCAGCGGAUCAAAUCUCACUGGCUCAAGGUUGACUCAGCCUUCCAUCCUUCCGAGGUGGGUAAAAUGAGGACCCAGAUUGUUGGGGGCAAUAUGCUAUUUAGUAUACUGUCUUUGGUAUAAGCUACCCAGAGUCCUCGGAGAGUGGGCGGCAUAGAAAUAUGACUAAUAAAUAAAAUAAUAAUAAUACUGCCA